AAAGAAGAACAAAAACCCUAGAGUGAAAAUUCAAGAGAAAAUUGGUGGAUUUCAAGUAAUCAAGCCAUCAAAGGUGAAAUUUCUUAACUCUAGCUUGUGAUCUAUCUUUCCUAUGCAUUAUCUUGCAUUUUCCAUGGUUGAAUCACAAGAUAUCAUGAAGGAUAGUGUGCUGAUCAAACCCUAGGAAAGAAAAUUUGAUGAUGAUUUAGAUAGAUUUUUAAGAUAUAUGGUUGUUUUUAGUUGUUUAUGGUGUUAAGUGUAAGAAUUAAGCUUGAAAUUCACAUAUUCCUCAUGAGUUCAUCAUUGGCCGGAUCUUCCUUGUAGAGUGUUGAUGGUGGAUUUGAUUUUAUUUCAGGUGAAUUGGUUAGGAAAUGAUGAAUUAUGGUGAGAAAAUCAAGUUGGAAAAAUCAUAGUGUUUAUACACUCACCAUGGCCGAAAUUCUCAAGAAGAAAUGUGAGGAUGGUUUUGCUAAAUUUUAUGUUAUUUGACUUGUGUUUGGUGAUUUGAAGUAUUGGGAGAGAAAUGAAAUUAUUUGGAGUUGAAUUGGACGUAUUGGACAAUUAAUCGGGGUGAUAGAUCGAGUUAGGCCAACACCGCAUGUUGACGAUAAUCCGAACAAUUCGCGUUCCAUAUCAUGCAUUCAUAUAGAGUUUAGAUUAGUUUUAUAACAAUUUAGCACAAAUGUAGUAACUGGCUUAUUGUGCGUUAUGUCUAGGUGGUGAGCAUUCUGGCAAAAGUAAAGAGAUAGUAUCCGAGGAUCAAGAAUCGGAGUACUCGAAACUCAAUUUCCAUUACAGUGAGUAACCUUAUCAUCAUCUUGAUUAUCUGAAGUGAAUUUUAAUUCGUUUUUGUGAUUUUAUGGAAAAUGAGUUUAAAUGGUAAAUCUUUAUGUUUUAUAAGCAAAAUGUGAUUAAAUGAAAUGAUUUUAUAAAAUUGUCUUGAAAUUGAAAGAUGGUUUUGAAAAUGGAGUAAUUGGAGACUAAUUGUUGUGUUAUAAAUCAUGGUUUGAACUGAAUGGCUUAUGAUAAUAUUGGCAUGAAUGGUUGGAUUUGGUAAAUGUGCUGAAAAAGUAUGAACUGUUGAUUUGCCUUGAGAGGCUGUAAAAUGAAAUAAUUGCCAUGUCAUGCUGUUGAAUUUUAUUGAAUUGGUGGAUUAUAAAUUGGUCGCUGCAGUGGACGGGUUUCGUGGACCAGCCUAUUAGAGGGGCAUGGUAACCCUAUUAUAUUCAUACCUCAGUAUGAGAGGCGUGGUUGGAUAACUCCUGAGGUUAAAACUUUAAAGUUCACUGCACGCCAAACCACCACGUGAGGGUGAACUCAGCCAACGCCAAGGAAUGGCUAUGUUUUCAAAAUAAAAACAUGAUUUAUGCGUAUAUGACUUUUUAACAGCCUUGGCGAACUCGGUUAGGAUAGCCCCAGGCCAAGGUAUCCCUGAUAACUGAGUAUGAGAAUGAUUUUUGCACGAGCCAAACUUUUUAGGAAAUCAUAAGCCUCGUUGUUUAUUUUGGUGAAAUGAAUAUAUUUUAUCUUAUUAAAAUGAGUUCGAAAUGCUGAGAAUCAUUUUUAUGCUAAUCUAUUUUAUCUGUCUCCAUUUACUUAGCUUUAGAUAUUUUAGAUGAUAUUUGUUUACUCACUAGGAUUAUAUAAUCUCACCACCCUUCUUUCCACCCUUUUCAAGCUCAAGAUAGUCGGUAGAUAGCUCAUUUCGUUGAGGGCUACAGUUGGACUUGCAUCUUAAAAAACUGUAGGUUUACCGCUUUUGAUACUUUUGGUCGUUCGUGGGCCCACGUGUCACUGUAAAUUAAAUUUUAUACUUUGGUUAUCUGUAUUACAGUAUGUAUGAAUUUAUUUAGCUUUUAUGCUACAAAAAUUAUUUACCGAUAACUCUAUAAA
rnacentral:lncRNA from 1 species